rnacentral:rRNA from 1 species
UACGUAGGUGGCAAGCGUUGUCCGGAUUUACUGGGCGUAAAGGGCGCGUAGGCGGAUACUUAAGUGGGAUGUGAAAUACCUGGGCUUAACUUGGGUGCUGCAUUCCAAACUGGGUGUCUAGAGUGUUGGAGAGGAAAGUGGAAUUCCUAGUGUAGCGGUGAAAUGCGUAGAGAUUAGGAAGAACACCAGUGGCGAAGGCGACUUUCUGGACAAUAACUGACGCUGAGGCUCGAAAGCGUGGGGAGCAAACAGG